rnacentral:misc_RNA from 1 species
AGCUUGUCUUUGACCCUGCUCGGUAAACUAAGCUUUCAGAACCAAAAUUGUUCAUCUUUUCUUUUUUCACCCUUUUGUGGAAGUUCUGAAUGCCAAUUGAUAAAGAAUUGGUUGAUUACUAAUCUAAUGUUAUCAUGUGUGAAUCUGUAAUUUGUGGGCUGGUUAAAAUUCAAGUAACAUAAGAAAUAGUUCUAAGCUGCUCAAA